CCUGGCGUGGGACGCUUCAGGACAUGGACGAUGGAGAGGCUGCAGAAUAGAUUGACCGAUAGGAAGUGUAAGAUGUUGGUGAGGAAGCAGUGGAUGGGGAACUGAGGAGUGUAGAGGGAAACAACAGUCCCUGUGAACAUCAGCGUGACCCCCCAGGACCCGGCCGACCCGACCCACCCUGUACCUUAAGGGUUUGUACUUCAUAUAGACCACAGGGUGGACCACCGCCUGGUAGCACUCCACACAGAUGCUGCACUGGAACUCAUGUGAAUGGCAAUGAUGUGGUGAAAAGACAGUUAUGCAGCCCUGCAAGAGAGAGUUAAACAAAGAGAGAGUUAAGGAGACAGAGAAAGAGUUAAUGAGAGAGAGAGAGCAUUACAAAGAGAGAGAGAUGAGAGGUGUUGGGUUUGCGCCCGACAUAGCGGUUUCCUUGAUGACCAAAGAGCUCAAUUUUAGUCUUAAUUGACCAGAGUACUUUCUUCCAUAUGUUUGCAGAGUCUCCCACCUGCUUUUGGCAUCAGACAGGAGACGCGUCCAACCAUGAUAUGUACUGAGAACCUGAGCCCUAGGACCAUGCCUCAGGACUACCUGGCCUGGUGACGCCUAGCUGUACCCAGUCCACCUGGCUGUGCUGCUGCUCCAGUUGCAACUGUUCUGCCUGCGGCUAUGGAACCCUGACAUGUUCACCGGACUUGCUACCUGUCCCAGACCUGCUGUUUUCAACUCUCUAGAGACAGCAGGAGCGGUAGAGAUACUCUGAAUGAUCGGCUAUGAAAAGCCAACUGACAUUUACUCCUGAGGUGCUGCCCUGUUGUACCCUCGACAACCACUGUGAUUAUUUGCCCCUGUUGGUCAUCUAUGAACAUUUACACAUCUUGACCAUGUUCUGUAAUAAUCUCAACCCGGCACAUCUAGAAGAGGACUGGUCACCCCUCAUAGCCUGGUUCCUCUCUAGGUUUCUUCCUAGGUUCUGGCCAUUCUAGGAAGUUUUUCCGAGCCACUGUGCUUCUACACCUGCAUUGCUUGCUGUUUGGGCUUUUAGGCUGGGUUUCUGUACAGCACUUUGAGAUAUCAGCUGAUGUAAGAAGGACUUUAUGAAUAAAUUUGAUUUUGAUUUGAUUUAUUUAAGCUUUUAUUUCUUUCAUCACAUUCCCAGUGGGUCAGAAGUGUACAUACACUCAAUUCGUAUUUUGUAGCAUUAACUUUAAAAUUGUUUAAUUUGGGUCAAACAUUUCGGGUAGCCUUCCACAAACUUCCCACAAUAAGUUGGGUGAAUUUUGGCCCAUUCCUCCUGACAGAGCUGGUGUAACUGAGUCGGGUUUGUAGGCCUCCUUGCUCGCACACGCUUUUUCAGUUCUGCACCAACAUUUUCUAUACGAUUGAGGUCAAGGCUUUGUGAUGGCCACUCCAAAACCUUGACUUUGUUGUCCUUAAGCCAUUUUGACACAACUUUGGAAGUAUGCUUUGGGGUCAUUGUCCAAUUGGAAGACCCAUUUGCAAACAAGCUUUAACUUCCUGCCACCCCGUGCUUCAUGGUUGGGAUGGUGUUCUUUGACUUGCAAGCCUCCCCUUUUUCCUCCAAAAAUAAUGAUGGUCAUUAUGACCAAACAGUUCUAUUUUUGUUUCAUCAGACCAGAGGUCAUUUCUCCAAAAAUUACGAUAUUUGUCCCCAUGUGGAGUUGCAAACCUUCUGGCUGUUUUACGGCAGUUUUGGAGCAGUGGCUUCUUCCUCGCUGAGCGGCCUUUCAGGUUAUGCUGAUGUAGGACUCGUUUUACUGUGGAUAUAGAUACCUUUGUACCUGUUUCCUCCAGCAUCUUCACAAGGUCCUUUGCUGUUGUUCUGGGAUUGAUUUGCACUUUUCGCACCAAAGUACGUUCAUCUCUAGGAGACAGAAGGCGUUUAGCCUAUCAGAAGCUUCUAAAGCCAUGACUUCAGUUUCUGGAAUUUUCCAAGCUGUUUAAAGACACAGUCAACUUAGUAUAUGUACAUUUCUGACCCGCUGGAUUGGUGAUACAGUGAAUUAUAUGUGAAAUAAUCUGUCUGUAAACAAUUGUUGGAAAAGUUACUUGUGCAAUGCACAAAGUAGAUGUCUUAACCGACUUGCCAAAACUAUAGUUUGUUAAACAAGAAAUUUAUGGAGUGGUUGAAAAACAAGUUUUAAUGACUCCAACCUAAGUGUAUGUAAACUUCCGACUGCAACUGCACAUAAUGCUUCAGUAAUGUCUUAUGAGAAGAUAUUGAUGCAUUAUACCCAUUCAUAUCAGAGGUUCAACAGCACAUUUAAAUGUUUUCAUUAUCAUUCCUAAUGACAGUGCUACUCUGAACAGUGAUUUAAAUGUAUUGAUUCUGUAGUUUAGUUUAGUUCUUUUGUUUGAAAGUAAAAGCUACGAAGGCCCAAAUGGUACCCUAUUCCCUAUACAGUGCACAUACAUUAAAUAAAUGAUUAAAUGUUACUUAUUUCAUUCAUGUAUUGUUUUGUUUUUCAUUUCUUUACAUUGACUGAGAAUUGCCUUUUACAGAAAUCAACUGUUGCACUGAAGUAGUGAGUCAUUGGAGUGCAUUUUAUUUAAAUAGCAUCUGCACGUGAACGAGCAAGACCCCUUAACUCAAGCCAAGCCUUAUACUUUCCAUGGUAACAGGAGGUUAGCUGUUUAGGAACAGUGGCUAGCUGUGCUAUGGCUGGGGGGGAGCUAAUGGUCCGUGCAUGAGUUGAACAUGGAAAUCAGUACAUUUCCCUUGGUGGUAUGGAAACCACACUGCUGAACUAACUGUUUUCAAAUCAGACGGAAAGUAGGUAAACAUAAUUGUCCCUGAAGGGAUGAGUAAAGUUGUAUUGAAUUGACAAAAAAUAUUAUAUCGUCUGGUAAACAUCUGUCUUUAAAUGAUCCAACAUUGGUUUCAAUGACAAAACAGUGACACAGAUUCAAUAAAAAACACUUCAUUCUCAUUGUA